GCGCUCGCUGGUGGCGUGGGGCGUCAGCAGCAGCACCUUGCUCCCCUCCUUGGCGGACAUCGCUGGGCGCUGCCGGGCUCCGGCGGCGGUGCUGGGCGCGGCAGCGCCUUCGUCCGCCCGUCCGCCGGCGGCUGGCGGGGCGCGGCGGGGCGGGCGGGGGCGGCUACAGGCGCCGGGCGGCGGCGGCCCGGCGGAACAUGGCGGCGGGCGCGGCUCGCGGCUCCUGGCGCAGCGCGGGGACGGUCCGCCCCGGGCCCGGCAUGCACCGCGCCGCCGCCCGCCGGGCACCGCGGGAGCGCGCGGGACUCCCGGCCCCGACCCGGACCGCGCCGACUCUCCCGCCCGUGCCGGGGCGGCGGCGCGGGGCGGGGCGGGGAACGCGGCCCGGCGCCUCCCGGCACGGCCCGGGGAGGCGAGUGAGGCGUCCGGAGCGCCCCCGCCCCGGCACGGGCGGGCGGCGGGCCGGGACUGAGGGGGCGGUGCGGCGGGCGGCCCGGCCCCCAGCGACCCCGCACCGCCGGGAGAGGGCCGGCGGCCACCAUGGAGAGCUCCGCGGGGCCGCCCCGGGGGCCGGGGGAGCCAUUUUGUGAGGGGGCGAAGUCCUCGGUGCCCCCCGGGCACGACCGCAGAGCGAGGAGUCCCCCUGUCCUCAGUGGGCGCCUCUCGCCCACAGCGCGGCUGGAAGGGACCCCACGGCCUCACCUGUCGGUGCAGGGCGGGCCGAGGGCAGGACAGGGAGGAGAAAAUAGAAAAUUCCCCCCCUCCCCCCAAGGAAGAACCUGGGCAUGGCUUGCAGCAAGCUCCCAGCACCAGAUAGUUCAGCCAAACUCAGCUCCACGCUUGAAGCUGAACAAGCAUUGAGAGCAGGAGCUGCCCCCUCCUCGUCCCCGAUCCCCCUCAGAGCCGCCCGGGCAGAGAGCGGGGCAGAGGCUCAGCACCACGGCCUGGUCCUGGCAAGUGCAGAUCACAGGCCUUAUGUCACACACAAACCCUGCAAAGUUGGUGCAACAGGUCCAGCCACAUACAGUGUAUAAGGCAGGACUUUGCCUUGGCAGAAAGGGAAUGGAGCCAUUUGGGAUGCAGAUGAUCCUUGACUUCCUUCUGCUCCAUCUCGAAGAAGUACCCGCUGAAGCUGCAUGCAAAAGCUGUUUAAAUGAAAAGGUGCUAUGUGAAAACCUAGACUUUUCUGACACCUCUCCUGACUGAGGCCUGUAAGGAGGGCGGAUGAUCAGAACAGUCUCUUCUGACUCUAACAGCGACAUACCUUAAAAACUGGCACAAUGCAAUGUCCCAGAAUCAUCUAAUUACCCAACAAGAACUUUUUGAAAACUAAGAAGGAAAUUGAAUCACAGGAGAGAGAGAUAUAUUCCAGAUCCCAAGAGAAAGAUGCACAGAGCAAAUCUUGCAGAGAUAAACCAGGUCUGAGAGGGGAAGACGUGCUAUAAGCAGAAGAUGAAGACAAAACUUUAAAGUUGUUCCAUUUCAUUGACUCUCACUAGUGACUGUUUGAAACUGUUCUUUCUGAAUUGCCAGAAACGGUAUUGUGAUUGGCAUAAACUGCGAGACUGCUUCAGAACAAGGCACGUUUUAUUUUAAAUACCUUUUGACAUGUUGCUGUACUGAGUUUCAAUAAGAAUACUUGAAAGCUUUCUUUAAAGAGGACAUAAGACUUCCCUGCUUCCCAAGUAAUUUUUUUAUGGCAAAUCUUAUUAUAUGAAGGCAUCUUUCAAAAAGGUUGAAACCAUGGUCUUAAGUCAUUUUCUCCAGCAUCACGAAAUCAUUAUCACUGCAAUACUCCAACUGCCAAUGUCAUCCAGUACCAAGAAGCUGCACUGACUUAAAAAGAGAAAAACAAAAACCAAAUUAUCAGAUAGUUGCUGGUAUAAAUGACAAGCUACUUUACUACUACAGUCUAUCCUGUCACACUCCCUUCCUGCACACACUUCCCACCUUCCCCAAUAAACUCUCUGAACAGGCUGAGGAAGCACAGCUAUGUUAGAAAAGCUAGUCAAGGCCACAGUCAUUACUUGCAUCAUAUCACAACGGUGAAAAACAGGUUAAAGCAACACAACCUGACUCCAGAAUUUCAUGUGAUUUUUAAAUACCAAACCCGAUCAGCCACAUCAGGUGGUCACACUAUUUUAAAACUCACACCUCUGGAGUGAUAGUACCUCAAACUCUUCUUUAGGUUCCUCAAAACAUCACUCACUUUCUCUGCUUAAAGCAUUCCUUCCCCCGCUCUUAUUAUCUAGUUCAAACUUUUCCUUCCUUAGCCUUAAGCGAUUGCUCUUUCUCCUACCAUCUGAGACCAAGCAAUUCCCUCUCUUCAUUUAUCUUACUACCUUGACGAUAUUAAUAGAGUAUUAAUAGUCACCUCUACUCACUCUAAAAAUUGAGUUCACUCUGCUUUUUGCUGCCCUCCUUUGUGUUCUCUCAUUUCCUCAGUGCCUCCACAAGCAAGAGACUUAACUGACAAAGUAUUCAAGGUAAGCAGGUCUGUGUAUAGGACCUUAUAAAAAAACCAACCACCUUAAUGCUCUGUAAUAGGAACUAUGAUAUAAACAAACCAGUGUGAUACUUUUUUUUUUUAAUUAACUUUGAUGAUUCUAUGUUGAUCCAUGAACAUGAUGUCCUACAGAUCGGAGAAAUCCCAUUAAUCAAUUUUAAAGGAAAGUGUGAGUGGAAUAAACCAACAAAAGGCAGAUAUAUGAUGACUCAGUUGCUGAAGAGUAUACACACUCUUUUGUCACAAACACAUCUGGCCAUUGUUACUGCAUGGCCAAAGCACAACUGUGCUUUCAGCCUACCCCUCUGCACCCUUUUCUCAAGCUCCUGAGACAGAACACCAUUAAGUAUUAGUAAGAAUUAACUGUUACAUUGGGACUGGACAGGGUUGAAAAAAGGGUUGAACAAAAAAUGACCCUCAUAAUUGGACAAACCUGAGGUCACGAAGAAGGAAUGCAGAAAAGGGUAUCCCAAAAUAACCCCACAUAAACAUUUAAAAGCUUUUCCACUACAUAUUUAUAUGCAAAUAGAAAAUUAUAAAACCAUUGGAAAGACACGGGCUUUCCCCCCCACCUCUGCCCACCACGAGAAGACAUUACCAUUUUAUUUUCUGGUCUGCACUACGUAGCUCUUCACAUGAAUUACAUCCUUGUGUUCAAUACAGUAAUUUACUGUGAAAAAUCAGUUAAGACUCCCACACCCAUACCUUCCUCUCCCUCUUGAGUAAGGGGUCAAAUACCUGUUAUACUUGCUAUAUUAAAUAGCUUCUUUGAAGCCUCUAAGGGCAGUUUCCAAAACCAGUCUAGAGCACUGAAAUGGUUGUUUAAUAUCAACUGAGAUUUUUUUAAUCCAUCUGGAGAAACUAACUGAAUUACAAAAAAAUAGAAAUGUAUGCAUUAUUUAAUUCUAUUAGGAACAAUUAAUACAUUGUGUCAUGAACAAUUAGUUGUUUUUUCUUAAAUGUACUUAAAAAUACCCAACUUUAAAAUCUUGUAGCUGACUUGACUGUCGUAUAGUGUUCACUUGCAUUUGAUAGAUAUAUUUUAUAGCUUCAAAAAAGUCAGUCUGAACCUUUACAAAAAGCCAUAGUAUGCUGUAUUGGACCUACAGGAGUUUGAAAGCAAUUGAUUUUCAAGUAACAAACCAUGCAGUUCCAUAACAGAACCCAGAGAUUUUUUUAAAAUAGUACAGAAGCUGUGAUGGUAGGUUAUAGUCAUAUUUAU